rnacentral:rRNA from 1 species
ACUUGGAGGAAUGUAUAGUAAAGCUAAAUGUAUUAUUAUAAUAAUACAUAUUCGAUUUAUUCGUAUAAAGUUCUAGAUAGAAUUAUGAUAAUGACAUUGUCUAUCUAUAUGUCUUGGCCAAAUUACGUGCCAGCAGCCGCGGUAAGACGUAAAAGACUAGUGUUAUUCAUCUUUAAUAGGUUUAAAGCGUACCUAGACGGUAAAUCAAGCCUGAGGGGACUAAUUUAACUAGAGUUAGAUGUAAGGGUGCAUAAACGUACUGUUGAGUGUAGAGAUGAAAUUCUUUUAUACCAGAUUAUUGGCACGGGUUAAGGCGAAAGCAUCACCUUAUGUAAUAACUGACGUUGAGGGACGAAGGCUUUGUAUCGCUAACAGGAUUAGAUACCCUAGUAGUCUAAGCAGAAAAUGAUGAGUGUCAUAGGUUAAAUAUUAUUUGGUCUAUAAAUGAAAGUGUAAGCACUCCACCUCAAGAGUAAUUUGGCAACAUUGGAAUUGAAAUCAUUAGACCGUUUCUGAAACCAGUAGUGAAGUAUGUUGUUUAAUUAGAUAAUACACAAAGAACCUUACCACAAUUUGAAUAUUUUACAAGUGUUGCACGGCUGUCUUCAGUUAAUGUCGUAAGAUUAUGGUUAGUUCCAUUAAAUUAACGUAAACCCUUACUUUAUUUUAUAUAAUAUAAAGUUGUUCGCCGCUAGA